UGGCUGUCGUCACCUCGUGUCGAGAAAUGUGGGGUAAACUCCCGCAACGAGCGCAACCCUUUUCCUUUUUUCCCAUCAUUUAGUUGGGCACUCUAAGGAGACUGCCGGUGACAAACCGGAGGAAGGUGGGGAUGACGUCAAGUCAUCAUGGCCCUUAUGGGUAGGGCUACACACGUCAUACAAUGGUCGGUACAAAGGGUUGCCAACCCGCGAGGGGGAGCCAAUCCCAAUAAACCCGAUCGUAGUCCGGAUUGGAGUCUGCAACUCGACUCCGUGAAGUCGGAAUCGCUAGUAAUCGCGGAUCAG
rnacentral:rRNA from 1 species